GGAUGUGAAGGCGAGCUGGCUGCGACAUCUGUCACCCAACUGAUUGCUAGGGUUGAUCUGGCUGAUCUGGCUGGUUAGGAGGGUAUCCCCUCUUCCUCCCUCAACGAUCCAUGUGCGUCCGUCCCCAAGUAUGCUCUAGUAUAAAUCAGUUGACUCAUAAAUACAAUUCCUAAAUUAUAUAAGUAAGUUCAUAAUUUACAUCUCAUUUUGGGUAUGUGCUAUCUUUCUAACUAAG
rnacentral:snRNA from 1 species